GUGGUUGUUAAGCAAUGCAAAGUAGCAGGCGAAGUGGGUCAUUCCUCUUGCUGCCUCUGCUGCUCUUUGGCUGUGCUGUGGAGAGGAGCUGCAGUAGAGCACCAGCACAGAUUCUGCGCUCAAGUUGAGAAGUGCUCCGACACAGAUGCUGAGGACUUAACUCGUGUUUAUGGACCGGCAUCGUUUGAAAAAGUCUGUUGUAAAAUGACGCAUCCCCGCUAAAGGCAUUCUGAGGUCCAUUCACCACCAUCCAAUAGUGGGUCGUUUUUUCCUGUAAUAGAAAUCUGUUUGACAACAUUUCACCAUCCAUCACACCCAACCUUGUUCAAGAGGGAGGAAACGAGGGAGGAGGAGGACGAUGGGUACCGAUGGAGUUUCUCCCCAAGCUCUCCUGUGGCUCAGCCUGAGUGGUUUGAGCUCCCUGGUGUCACCCCUAAACCCCGAUGAUCCCAAUGUGUGCAGCCACUGGGAGAGUUAUGCAGUGACUGUGCAGGAGUCUUAUGCCCAUCCAUUUGACCAGGUUUACUACACCCGAUGCACCGACAUCCUCAACUGGUUCAAAUGCACGAGACACAGGUAUGCACAAAGCAACUCUCUUUGUUUAAAGCUGCAGUAUAUUACUGUUUUAAUUCCUUUAACAUUUAAUAUUUUAGGGAUUUUAA